rnacentral:rRNA from 1 species
UGCCUUCUUUUUCGUUGUACUUCAAGGACAGACGUAGUUUGACGAAAGUGAAUACCCUGUCUGGGUCACGUAUCUUCGAGGGUGUGUUCCAUCUAAUAGAAUAUCCUGCCCGCUUUACGUUGUCUUCUUCGAGGAGGCGACGAUGAGCGGUUUGAGGUUCGUUUUUCCUGGAAGGUGAAAGGAACGAUUACCGCUCGUUGAGUUUCUACAGAUUUUCCAAUGCGAAUUAUAAAUGGGAGGCAUAGAAUAAAUGAACUGGUAAUGUACAUAUCUACGAAAGUCUCUUGUACAUAUAUAUCGACGUCUAGGACGUAAAUGAACUGGAGAAAGAGACAGUCCAUUUAAUGGUACCAUGAAUAGAUUACGCUAAACAUUUCAAAAUGGUUAGACCUCCUAUAAGUUAUGGUUCUAAAUACUAAACCGUAUUCACUCUACUGUAUGUUCACUCAAAUUCAGCACUCUCACUUUAUCGUUGCCAAAUUAAUAGUAUGGCAGCCGUUGACGUGGAGUUGACGCCUUUUUCUUUAGAACUUCUUGGUUCUGGUGGUGGUCGACCUUCUUCUAAAGUAGGUCCUUUAAAUCAGGAUCCCUGAAACUAUAUGUUACUAUGUGGUUUCGUUCGUUUCUUCGGUUUUCUUCAAUUUACAAAAAUGGACGACGACCGUAGGCUACUCGUCAACGUCCACAGUUGGUAUCAAUGUACUAGUACACUGUCGUACCGUAGCCUGUUGUGCCGGAAGUGGAAUUACGUGGGGUUUCCACCAGUAGCGGCUUCGUGCGGUUCCCACUCGGUAUUGGUAUGGCAACUGGGUGGCCGCACCACUCCUGUUUAACGUAUCAUAGUACAAAAAAGUCAAUUUAGGACUCUUGUCUUUCUGCAUAGAUUGUGUCAUACAUUUUAAACAUUCGAGUAUACUUUUAUCUACUCUAGUUUAAUCCAUUCGUGCAAGAACGUUCGCUACAUAAAAGAGUGAAUGCUCUUAAUGGUCAACGUAUAUAUUAUAUGACAUCAUCGGAUAUAAGUACGUGAGAGUAAAAACGACUUGUUAAGU